GCGGAAUGAUGGAGGUCUAAAGCGGUAUUCAAAAGGAUUCCCUCACAGUGCCCCUCUGCAUUUUAGAUACCUGAAGUGCCCACUUCACCCAUGGCUCCAGGAGAUGAGGAGAAGCACCAAGGGGAGGAAGGAGAUCAACCACCUUGAAAGUCCCGACCAGCCCUGCACCAGCCAAACCGGAGCCUAAACCAAGCCGGCCAGGGAGAUCCCAGUGGCAGCAGUGACAAGCCAAAUAAUACCGCCUGGAGAGAUUCAGUCCAGAGAGCUGCACCAGUGAAGAAGAGGGCAAGGGAGAAGUGAUGGGGACUCAAACCAAAGUCUGGGGACCAGGACACCCUGAGAGAAGAUAGGAGUCGACCUGUCCAUUGGAAAAAAAUAAGUAUCUAAU